GACGAACGCUGGCGGAAUGCUUUACACAUGCAAGUCGAACGGCAGCACGGGGCAACCUGGUGGCGAGUGGCGAACGGGUGAGUAAUGCAUCGGAACGUACCUUUCAGUGGGGGAUAACGUAGCGAAAGUUACGCUUAUACCGCAUAUUCUGUGAGCAGGAAAGCAGGGGAUCGCAAGACCUUGCGCUGAUUGAGCGGCCGAUGUCAGAUUAGCUAGUUGGUGAGGUAAAGGCUCACCAAGGCGACGAUCUGUAGCGGGUCUGAGAGGAUGAUCCGCCACAAUGGAACUGGGACACGGUCCAGACUCCUACGGGAGGCAGCAGUGGUGAAUUUUGGACAAUGGGGGCAACCCUGAUCCAGCCAUGCCGCGUGAGUGAAGAAGGCCUUCGGGUUGUAAAGCUCUUUCGGCCGGGAAGAAAUCGCACGGGCUAAUACCCUGUGUGGAUGACGGUACCGGAAUAAGAAGCACCGGCUAACUACGUGCCAGCCGCCGCAGUAAAAC
rnacentral:rRNA from 1 species